CCGGGGUUCCGACUCCGAUUAAUAUGGAUAAGUUGCACCGCCGCAUCAUGUUUGCCAUGUCAUGCAUAUCCUCUUGAUCAUGCUGGAUCUUCUUUAUCCGUAGUAGUAAGACUUGCAUACGUUGUGUGUUCCAGCAUUUGCUUCUUCCCGGAUAGGAUCACGAAGUGGUGAUGUGAGUUACGACGAGUUCUCCGACAAGUUCUUCUGCAGCUUUUCACAGGCGAGCCCACCCCUUCACCUAUUUUACUUUUACAUGCUCUUUUGAUCUAUUGCUAUCCUUGUGUUGCGAUUCUGUUGUGUCACGUGUCCUAUCCACCUGUUACCUAUAUGUCCGAGAUACACCUCCUCGCCCUACCUAUUGUUUGUUGUUUGCCAGCUUUGCGAGUCGUAGGCGAGUUUAGGGUCUUGUUGAUAUCUCGAGAUGUUCGGGAUAUCUUGUUGGGAGGUUAUCACAUGCUAUAUCUUUUGUUGGAGAUAAUCACACUUUAUUUUAUUGUUAACAACUAAAAUUGUAAGCAGAGGCAUCUGUGAGCCCCUUUGCGAAAGCAUCGGAACUUUGACUCGCUAAUGUCCCCUAGGACCCGAGUUCUUGUUAUCUGUUCCGAGAUUGAGCGCUCUACCCGUACGUGGGGGAGUGGGACCCCCAUCACCCACUACCUUUCCUCGAGUCUGUUUAUUGGGAGCCACAACCUUGGUUUUAUUUGCUCAUAUGCACGAUGCACGAUUUACUUCUGUUGCCUUCGGGUGUUUAUAUUAUGUUUUGUACUCAUAUCGUGGAACGAUUAGCGACAGCAGGUUGUUCACACUUAGCUUAGCCGUUGGCACAAACCUCUGGGUCCGUAUCGGAGUACGGCCGAACUUCGUCACGGGUAGCUUAGUGGGGUGGCUCCCCUUAAACUUUCUCUUGCAUUGGGAACGGUCUUGAUGUGAGACUCCACCUGUAGUAAGUGGGUUCGAGCAUGCGUAUGGUUACAUUUGGGCAACCCCUGCAGGGUGUACAUCUUAUCGAUAAGCCGCGUCCGCGGUUAUGGACGACUUGGAAUUGUAUAGCUUGAUCAUAGAACAACUUACACCUUAUUUCCUGUUGUUAAUAAAUUGCUAAUAAAACCCUUUCAAAAGUGUGUGUGCCUUCGCCAGUACCUCUUUGCGAAGGGGGAACGCAUCGGCUGUGUUAUGUUUGCAGAGUAUAGAACUGUUAUCUUGUGCGCUCUCUUAUCUUCUCUGAGUAGACGGAUGUUGUAGCGUGUCUCUAUUGGAUAGUAGCUUUGCUGCCGCUAAACUCCACAUAUAGCCGGGUGAAGUUUAUACCGCCCACCAGCGAGCAUAGCUGGUCUUGUCUCGCAAGUACGUGCCAAUGGUACUUACCCUCGCCUUUCUUUUCUUUUUGUCUCCUCCCCCUUUUGUCGGCAACCGAUGGCCCGACUUUGACAGGUACGAGAUGAUGACGUUAGCAAGGUUACCCUUCCGGCUUGGCCUGGGCAGGGUUAUGGACGCCACUGGUUAUCUUCAGGACUCUUAGUCCAAUUUGUAUCUUGUCCGUACUCGGACGUAUGUGAUCUUCUGUAUGAUUUGGAUAUUUGUAUGUAUCGAUUUGUAUCUUGACUCGUUGGAGUCGUUGUUGUAAUAUAUGUAUCUUGUGGGCUCUAUUGUAAUCAUGUUGUAAUGUUACCGCUCGUGUUAAUUCCUCUGGCAUCACGUGUGUGAUUCGUCGCGCACGUCGUGUCGGAGGGCGUCUCUGAAUCGAUAUCGUGCGGAUUUCGGCGGGAUCGCUGGAAUCCUCAUGGUACCGGUUCCGGGGCGUCACAAGUUGGUAUCAGAGCUCAGGUUGACGGUACCCCACUAGUCCAGCCUGUAGGAUAACCUUGCCAACGGACGUCGUUGUGUCUAGUGUCAAAACUAUUUUCUAAAAAUUCGUUGGAAAGUUCUGAUUAGCUCUGAUUUUUCUCCUUACCUAUAUUCUUUCUCCUCUUCUCUAUGCGAGUUUUGAGUCCUCUCUCUUAUCUGAGUUCUCUGAGUCUUAGGUUCCCACGUGGGUUGGACGAUCUAUGCAUUAUCCUAAUAGGUCCGCUCUCUGAAGAUUUUCCAACAGAAGAAACAUCAACGACGACUAUCCUUUGUCUUACCCGUUAACGUCAUCUUUGUUCCGUGAUCAUUCUUCAAUUCUUUGUGCUUUGACCCGUCGGAUCUUCGCUGUCAACGCUUGUCAGGAUCGCCAAUCUGAAUGCUGGGAGUUGGUUGCACGAUUCUUCUAUUCAUGUACGGAGUAAUACUUUGGGUGCGGAAUGGAUUGGCCCCCAUGCCGACUACUCUUAUUAUUCGCUCUUGUUACAUUGAAUUGGUGAAUCAGUGUGAUUAUUACUCCUUUUCUCUUUGUUCUACGGAGCCUGGUCUUCUGCAAUACGAGUUCCAACAGAAGCACCUCAUCAUCGACGGGACAACGACUUCUUGUUGGUGGUGUCGCCGUUCUACAUGGAGUAACAAUUCUUGUUAGUGGUGUCGAGGAGAUCGACACGUCGCCAGAAGAUCCGAUAGUUCACCUCUCUCCCCCGUACCUGGACGAGGGAUCUCGGGGCGCGAUCCCUUGUUAGUGGUGUCGAUUGUAACGGCCCGGGAUAGUACCCCUAAUAGAUUUUGUUUGUUCUUUUCUUUUUGUGCAUCGUCAUUUCAUCAUGCAUCAUAUCAUCCAUGUUUUCACUAAAUAAAAUUAUUUUUAUAAACCCUAGCUAUUUUGUUUUCCUCUCAUAUGAUUUUAUUAAUAAAACCUCAUCUUUCCCUUUUCUUUUUUACAAAAUCCUAAAACCUAAUCUUCUCUCCUGGCCCUCUCUCUCUCUCCCUGGCUUUUUCCUCCGGCGGCCCAAGCCCAGCAAUCCUCUCCCUCUCUCCCUGGCCCAAGUCCCUCUCUCCUUUCUUCCUUACCCGGUGGCCCAUCUCUCUUCUUUCUCUGGCCCAAGCCAUCUCCCUCUCGGCCCACUUUUCUGGACGAAGGGGUACGCCUCCUUUUUGCCUUGUCGUCUUUCUCCACGCAUCACGCACAUGGCGUGAGGAGGAUGCCGUGGUCCUCCCCACCACCGCGCCCGCCUCCACCUGCUCUCCAUCCCCUCCCUUUAAUCCUCUCCAGAUCCCCCUGGAAACCCUAGCCUCCCUCUCGUCCUCCCUCGCGCCGCCACCUCCUUUCCCCCCUCUUUUUCUUCGUCUCUGUGAACGCAACCAAGGAGCACCACCGCCACUGCCCACCAUGGCGCCGCCGCUCUGUUCCAUCCCCCGACGAUUUGAGACCACCACCAGAAGCGCCUCGUCUUCCUCUACAUCCUCGUCCAAGGAAUCGACCUGAGGCGCUUUGUAUCAAGCGCACGGUCGCCGAUUCCUCUUUCGUCUCCGGCGAGAUAAUCCUCAAUUACGGCAGCCCUCGUCCUCCUCCGGCCAAACCGAGCACACCACCUCCUUCCCUGCGUCGAGCCGCACCCCCGACGCCAUCUCUCGCAUCCUGGUUCGUCCCGUCUCCGUCGUCCCCGAGCUCGUCUGCAAGUGUCCGCCAUGGCCCCUAUCUCCGCUCGUUUCUGCUUCAACAUGUCACGAAGCCCGUGUUCAUCAACAACAGUAACUGUAGCCCAGUGAUCUCGAGUUCAGAGAUGUUUCAGCUUAUGCGUGAGAUCAUCCAAGUCAACAACAUCAGCUAGCUCUUCUGACGGGCCUCGGCCCAGAUCCUCCGUCCCUGAUCAACGCCCGCGCGGCCCGAAGUUCCCGUCGCCGACGCAGAUCAGAUCCGGCCCAGGACAGUGCAGCAUUUGCUUCUUCCCGGAUAGGAUCACGAAGUGGUGAUGUGAGUUAC